UACGUAGGGUGCGAGCGUUGUCCGGAAUUAUUGGGCGUAAAGAGCUCGUAGGCGGUCUGUCGCGUCGAAUGUGAAAACCCGGGGCUCAACUCCGGGCUUGCAUUCGAUACGGGCAGGCUAGAGUUCGGUAGGGGAGUCUGGAAUUCCUGGUGUAGCGGUGAAAUGCGCAGAUAUCAGGAAGAACACCCGUGGCGAAGGCGGCUUUCUGGGACGGUACUGACGCUGAGACGCGAAAGCGUGGGGAGCAAACAGG
rnacentral:rRNA from 1 species